rnacentral:rRNA from 1 species
AGUCGUACGAGAGUUUUUAACUCAAGUGGCGGACGGGUGAGUAACACGUGAGAAUUUGCCUUUAGGAGGGGGAUAACAGAGUGAAAACGCUGCUAAUACCCCAUAUGCUUUCGAGUGAAAUGGAUUUAUUCGCCUAAAGAGAAGCUCGCGGCUGAUUAGCUUGUUGGUAAGGUAAUGGCUUACCAAGGCGACGAUCAGUAUCUGGUUUGAGAGGACGAUCAGACACACUGGAACUGAGACACGGUCCAGACUCCUACGGGAGGCAGCAGUGGGGAAUUUUCCGCAAUGGGCGAAAGCCUGACGGAGCAAUACCGCGUGAGGGAUGACUGCCUAUGGGUUGUAAACCUCUUUUCUCAGGGAGGAAAUCAAUGACGUUACCUGAGGAAUAAGCAUCGGCUAACUCCGUGCCAGCAGCCGCGGUAAGACGGAGGAUGCAAGUGUUAUCCGGAAUCACUGGGCGUAAAGCGUCUGUAGGUGGCUUAACAAGUCAACUGUUAAAUCUUGAAGCUCAACUUCGAAAUCGCAGUCGAAACUGUUAGGCUAGAGUAUAGUAGGGGUAAAGGGAAUUUCCAGUGGAGCGGUGAAAUGCGUAGAGAUUGGAAAGAACACCGAUGGCGAAGGCACUUUACUGGGCUAUUACUGACACUCAGAGACGAAAGCUAGGGUAGCAAAUGGGAUUAGAUACCCCAGUAGUCCUAGCCGUAAACAAUGGAUACUAGAUGUUGGGCAGAUCGACCUGUUCAGUAUCAAAGCUAACGCGUUAAGUAUCCCGCCUGGGAAGUAUGCGCGCAAGCGUGAAACUCAAAGGAAUUGACGGGGGCCCGCACAAGCGGUGGAGCAUGUGGUUUAAUUCGAUGCAACGCGAANAACCUUACCAGGGUUUGACAUGAUACGAAUUUUUUUGAAAGAAAAAGUGCCGUUUGGAACGUAUAC